AGUGAACGCUGGCGGUAGGCCUAACACAUGCAAGUCGAACGGCAGCACAGUAAGAGCUUGCUCUUACGGGUGGCGAGUGGCGGACGGGUGAGGAAUACAUCGGAAUCUACUUUUUCGUGGGGGAUAACGUAGGGAAACUUACGCUAAUACCGCAUACGACCUACGGGUGAAAGCAGGGGAUCUUCGGACCUUGCGCGAUUGAAUGAGCCGAUGUCGGAUUAGCUAGUUGGCGGGGUAAAGGCCCACCAAGGCGACGAUCCGUAGCUGGUCUGAGAGGAGGAUCAGCCACACUGGAACUGAGACACGGUCCAGACUCUGACGGGAGGCAGAAGUGGGGAAUAUUGGACAAGGGGCGCAAGCCUGAUCCAGCCAUACCGCGGGGGUGAAGAAGGCCUGCGGGUUGUAAAGCCAUUUUGUUGGGAAAGAAAAGCAGCAGGUUAAUACCCCGCUGUUCGGACGGUACCCAAAGAAUAAGCACCGGCUAACUUAGG
rnacentral:rRNA from 1 species